UGACCCGUUCGUUAUUCAACUCGAUCACUGCAGCGGGCAGCGGCCUUUUAACGUCCUUGGUUAUGUACAUACACUCCUCAUUUUACAUACUCUCUUUCCAAUUGACCUGCUUUUUUUGCCAUUCUUCCGUUAUUCUGCCAAUUUUUCACGUCUUUUCGUCUGAAUUGCCGACUGAGUGAACCGAUCGCAGAUAAUCUGCAGGAAUUUAAGGACAUAUUAAAUACAUACGCAUCCACUGAAAAUUCUUUGCGAGUUCUGCUGCCGAUAACGGGUGGCAGAAGGAGAGGAAUAAUUCGCGAACGAGUUGUCCAGGCCGAGGCCAACAGCAGCUGCAGGGAAGUGGAGAGGAAUAUCCAGCGUUGGGGCGGCUGCAGAUCAACAAUUCUGGCCAAGGACGCGGUCAAGGUGACCCCCGCUCAGGCUUAGGGCCUGUCAAUGUCGCCAGGGAAAGCCAGCCUUGCAUGCAGUCCGUGCCACAUACAGUCUCCCACAUGUCAGUCCUUCGAAGGACAGUCUUUCGACGGCGACUGUGGAAACCAGCAGCAGCGGGUGGCGCCGACCAAUUCCGUCAGAAACGGUGAGAUUUCCAAGUUUCCCGCUAGAAACGGACAGGGCACGCAAGGCAAGCAGGUGAAUGUGCUGUCCAACCACUUUGCGAUUUCGCUCCCGAAAGGAAAUCUUGAGACGCUCAUCACCCAGUAUGACGUGGAUAUGAAAUUGAUCAGCCAGAAGGACGGUUCGCUCAAGGACUGUCCCAAAAAAUUCA